rnacentral:RNase_P_RNA from 1 species
AAAGUUGACUAGACAGUCGCCACAGAGUAAUAUUCACUUAAUUAUUAUUAGAGAACAAAUCUGUGGAGGAAAGUCCGGGCUCCAUAGGGUAUAGAUGCCAGGUAACACCUGGGAGGCGUGAGCUUACGACUAGUGCAACAGAAAAAAAACCGCCGAACUUUAUAAAUAAACGCUAUAGGUUAGGUAAGGGUGAAACGGUGCGGUAAGAGCGCACCACAUGACUGGUAACAGUACGUGGUAUUGUAAACUCCAUCUCGGAGCAAGGCCAAAUAGGAGCUUAUUAAGUAUGACCCAUACAAAGCUCGGGUAGGCUGCUUGAAUCAGAAAGUGAUUUCUGAUCUAGAUGAAUGAUUGUCCACGACAGAACCCGGCUUAUCGGUCAGCUUUCAUU